CUUUCGCGGGUCUCUCUCGGCUCUUAGUUCACUCUCCCGACCGCCUGCUUUCGAAAUGUAUUUGGCCGUGCUUUGGAAGAUCUUGUGAUGGCUUGACCUGCUCAGUUUGGUGGCACUGGCAUACAGAAGUCUCUUUUGGACCUAUAGGCCUUUGAUAGAUAAGAAACGUUGUGUAUCUAGAAUUAUUGCAGCCAGCCAUUGUUGAUUCUUGGAGUGGCGGAGCCAACUGUAAUUAUGUAUACUUCUUAUUUAACUUUGCUAAAGAUAGACUGGAAUUGGGAUCAAAGCUCUUUCUAGCGUGGACUGGAUGGUACAAUAUUCCUCUUUGUCCUGCAAAAAAAAAAAAAACAAUUUAAGUUCUGAAACUCUGUUAGGCAUCAGUUAUUCUUAUAAUUAUGCAUUACUUUUAAAAUUGCA